UACAGAGGGGGCAAGCGUUAUUCGGAAUUAUUGGGCGUAAAGGGCGCGUAGGCGGCCUUGCAAGUGACGGGUGAAAUCCCUCGGCUUAACCGAGGAACUGCCUGUCAAACUGCGUGGCUUGAGACCAGGAGAGGUGAGUGGAAUUCCCAGUGUAGCGGUGAAAUGCGUAGAUAUUGGGAGGAACACCAGUGGCGAAGGCGGCUCACUGGACUGGUACUGACGCUGAUGCGCGAAAGCCAGGGGAGCGAACGGG
rnacentral:rRNA from 1 species